UUUCCUUCGAUCUCCUCGGUAAGCACCCACAUACGAGGGAGCCGCGCCGGAAGGCCAACAAGGUUGAGCUCGCUCAUGUGGCCGUCCAAACCACGGCGAGUGAUUUCUGCGCAGGGACCGAGCGGGUUAAUGGCGGGGAGGGGCGGGACUAUAACGAUCGUGCAAUUGCAUCGGUGGGGAUGACCUAGGCGGUCCGGCGUUGGCGCUCGGCAUAGGCCGCGGCCUGCGGGACGAGUUCGCCGCGUUGCACGCAUGGCGGCGGUGAGCCGUGGAGGAUGAUCUUCAUGUCGCCUCAGCGGAGCUACUGCUGUGGGUGACCUCGGUGACCACCUCCCCAGGUUGCUGAUUGCCGGCGACGGCCCCGACCUGCUGCUGCCGGCCACGACUCUGUGCUGCUGCUGCCGACGACCCCCUGCAUCAGCCCGACACUAGAUGUAUAUGAAACAAAUGUGCUUAAUCCAGGAGGGAAUAUAGGGCAGCUAGCAUGUUUCUGUUUGGAGCUACGGUCGUAAUUGAUGCAGGCAUGUUUAGUAGCUGAUGCAGAUAUGUUUAGUAGACUGUGUUUUGUUGUGGUAGGCAUGGGUGUGGAUAUUGCGUUCCUGUGUAGAACAGAGCAUGGCCUGCAGGCCGACCGUGAUUUCGUUGUAUCCACGAUGACAAGGUUGGUUGGUUGCUGUACUGAUGGUACUAAAUAUAUAGUAGAUGGUAUGUUUAA